rnacentral:ncRNA from 1 species
UACCCCGUUUGGCAAACUUAUCGAAAGGUAAGGGCGCAAAACCACAGGUCUAAAACAUUGAAAAAUGUUAUGACGGCUGGGCUGCUAUG